rnacentral:rRNA from 1 species
GAUGAACGCUGGCGGCGCGCCUAACACAUGCAAGUCGAACGGUUAAAGCACCUUCGGGUGUGUAUAAAGUGGCGAACGGCUGAGUAACACGUGGGCAACCUGCCCCUCGCACCGGGAUAGCCUCGGGAAACCGUGGUUAAUACCGGAUACUCCGCGACCCCCGCAUGGGGGACGCGGGAAAGCCCAGGCGGCGAGGGAUGGGCCCGCGGCCUGUUAGCUUGUUGGCGGGGUAGUGGCCCACCAAGGCGAUUAUGGGUAGCCGGGUUGAGAGACCGACCGACCAGAUUGGGACUGAGACACGGCCCAGACUCCUGCGGGAGGCAGCAGUGGGGAAUCUUGCACAAUGGGCGAAAGCCUGAUGCAGCGACGCCGCGUGCGGGACGAAGGCCUUCGGGUUGUAAACCGCUUUCAGCAGGGACGAGGCCGCAAGGUGACGGUACCUGCAGAAGAAGCCCCGGCUAACUACGUGCCAGCAGCCGCCGCCGUAA